rnacentral:misc_RNA from 1 species
AUCUCAAAUCACUGGCAGGGAGAUCAUUGUCAGGGAUAACAAGAGAUUUCACCAUUUCCGUAAUGGUGUAUGCUCUUGUGGUAACUUCUGGUAAUUGAUAGAUGAACCGUUAAGAUCUCUUAAAUCCCAGUGUAUGUUAGUUUGAAGAAUCCUUUUCAUUUGGAAAUGUACAUUGCUCGGUAACAGUGCCACAAUACACAAUUGUGAGGAAUUGGACUUCUUAGUCGACCGAAGCCUGAAGGAUAUGAUUAAUUCAUUCAGGGGAAAAUCUGAGUUCCAGAAUUGUGUAAAUUCCAGGU